GUAGGUGAACCUGCGGAAGGAUCAUUACCGAAUUGUCAAACACGGGUUGUUGCUGGCCCCCGAAACGGGGCAUGUGCACGCUCUGUUUACACAUCCACUCACACCUGUGCACCCUCUGUAGUUCUGUGGAUCGGGAGACGCCGUCUUCCUUCCGUAGCUCUACGUCUUUACACACACACCGUAGCGAUGUCUCAUGGAAUGUUUUUUCGCGUUUAACGCAAUACAAUACAACUUUCAGCAACGGAUCUCU
rnacentral:misc_RNA from 1 species